rnacentral:rRNA from 1 species
UGGGGAAUAUUGGACAAUGGGCGAAAGCCUGAUCCAGCCAUGCCGCGUGUGUGAAGAAGGUCUUCGGAUUGUAAAGCACUUUAAGUUGGGAGGAAGGGCAGUUACCUAAUACGUGAUUGUUUUGACGUUACCGACAGAAUAAGCACCGGCUAACUCUGUGCCAGCAGCCGCGGUAAUACAGAGGGUGCAAGCGUUAAUCGGAAUUACUGGGCGUAAAGCGCGCGUAGGUGGUUAGUUAAGUUGGAUGUGAAAUCCCCGGGCUCAACCUGGGAACUGCAUUCAAAACUGACUGACUAGAGUAUGGUAGAGGGUGGUGGAAUUUCCUGUGUAGCGGUGAAAUGCGUAGAUAUAGGAAGGAACACCAGUGGCGAAGGCGACCACCUGGACUGAUACUGACACUGAGGUGCGAAAGCGUGGGGAGCAAACAGGAUUAGAUACCCUAGUAGUCCCUGAGCGGGCUGGCAAGGCGCAU